rnacentral:misc_RNA from 1 species
GAAGUGACUGAGUGGAUGUCUAAGUUUAGUGGAGUUCCAGUUACAGAGCUAUGCCAACACCGGUUUUUGCUAUACAAUCAAGAUGCCACACAACACCUGUUUGAAGUAGCUGCUGGACUAGAUUCCCUAGUCCUGGGAGAAGGUCAAAUUCUUGCACAGGUCAAGCAGGUUGUUAAGAAUGGACAAGGUGUCCCUGGCUUUGGUAGGAAAAUAAGUGAGCUAUUUAAGCGUGCAAUCACAACUGGUAAGAGGGUAAGAACUGAGACCAAUAUCUCCAGCGGAUCAGUAUCAGUCAGUUCAGCGGCGGUGGAGCUUGCUAUGCUGAAACUUCCAGAGUAUUCUUCUUCUAUGGCUCGUGUGUUAAUUGUUGGAGCUGGCAAGAUGGGAAAGCUUGUGAUCAGACACUUGGCUGCUAAAGGGUGUAAAAAGAUGGUUGUCAUUAACCGGACAGAGGACAGAGUUGCUGCCAUCCGUGAGGAGUUGAUGGAUGCUGAUAUAGUAUAUAAACCUUUCUCAGAAUUGUUAGCAUGUGCUGCUCAGGCUGAUGUAAUAUUCACAUGCACUGCUUCGAAAGCCCCUUUAUUCAUAAAAGAGAGUGUUCAAGCUCUCCCUUCUGUGGACUCUGAAGAUGGAUGCCGGAGGCUAUUUAUCGAUAUUUCUGUUCCUCGGAAUGUGGAGCCUAGUGUUGCUGAAGUUGAAGGUGCAGAUGUUUACAAUGUGGAUGAUCUUAAAGAGGUUGUGGAAGUUAAUAAGGAGGAUCGGUUGCGGAAGAAAAUGGAAGCUGAGACUAUCAUUGCUGAGGAAGUGAAACAAUUUGAAGCACUUAAAGACUCCCUUGAAACCGUUCCAACUAUCAAAAAGCUCAGGGCAUAUGCUGAAAGAAUUAGGUCUGCUGAGGUUGACAAAUGUUUGUCUAAGAUGGGUGAUGAUAUCCCCCAACACAAGAAGAAGGCUAUUUAUGAUCUUAGUCUAGGGAUAGUAAACAAGCUGCUACAUGGACCAAUGCAGCAUCUGAAAUGCGAUGGAGCUGAAAACCGAACUUUGAGUGAAAUACUUGAAAAUAUGCACGCCCUUAACAGAAUAUUUGGUCUUGAUACAGAGAUGUCUGUAUUGGAAGAGAAAGUACGAGCCAAGAUAGAACAAAAUCAAAAGCAAUCCUCUUGAGGUUCUUCUGCCAUUCAGCUAGAAAAGGUCAAUAACAUUCAGCAAAGUUCAAUCAGGAAUGAUCAUCAUUUCAGAUCCUUUCCUGACAGUUUGCUAGUUUUGACUGUAUCAAAUUAGAGUACACAGAACAGAUGUGAAAUUCUUUGUUUUAAACCAUAGGUAGCCAACAUUACACGAAAGAUUCCCUCAGAUUGCGGGAAAGUCUGCCAUAGUUGCAGUUGUAUUUCUUACAUAAGAGUAUAUAUCCAUCCAUUUGUUGAAUCCAGAUGAGUAUUCAUAAUAUAUCAGAAGUUCAUGAGGGCUUUGUGAAGCUUCUCACUUUACUGUCUCAACUUCGUUCUGUCUGUUAUUUCCUUUUUAUUUCUACGUGGGC